GGAGAGCUGUCAUUGAAACAUAACCAUAGCAGCAAGUUGCGUGACUUGCAGCUCCAAUACAACGUGAGCUACAAUUUUACGGAAGUAAAGUUUCAUUAUUUUUCACAAGAACAACAUACAAAUUUUGCACACCGCUUUGAUCUCGUUGUUCUGUUUUGUCGUGUCAUUAAAUCCGGAUUUUAUUCGAAGUGAAGUAAGGUGGAAGAAGAUCAUUUCUUUUCAUAUAAGAUAUAAAUCGUGCAGCAGAUACGAGUUGAGUUCUUGAGCCGUUGAGCUAAGACCAGGUACAGACGACAGAUUUGCUGACCCGCCUGCCUAGGACAUCUAUUCUGCUAUUUUGGGAGUGCUCUUUUGUCCAGAGCCUAUAUGUUGGUACAGUCUGCUGCUAUUGUAUAUAUGUAUACUAUUCAGGGGUAUGACGGGGCCCUGUCCCGUCUUAUGAUUCUGUUAUGUUCUGUAGAGGUCUGUAGACAUAAUUGUGUGGGUUCUGUAUAUGUUUUGGGUUGAUAUGAUCUGUGAUAGCCUUAUCGGCUUCCACGUGCUAUAUUUGUUCACCUAUGAUAACUAGUAACGCCAACU